rnacentral:rRNA from 1 species
CCCUACGGGGUGCAGCAGGCGCGGAACCUUUACAAUGCACGAAAGUGUGAUAAGGGAAUCCUGAGUGCUUUACUUCUGUAAAGCUUUUUUUAAGAGUAAAUAUCUUAGAGAAUAAGUGGAGGGCAAGACUGGUGCCAGCCGCCGCGGUAACACCAGCUCCACAAGUAGCAACCGCGAUUAUUGGGCCUAAAGCGUCCGUAGCUGGUUUAAUAAAUCUUCUGUGAAAUUGUUUGGCUAAACCAAACAGAGUGCAGGAGACACUAUUAUACUUGAGACCGGGAGGAGUUAGAGGUAUUUCUGGGGGAGCGGUAAAAUGCUAUAAUCCCUGAAAGACCACCUGUGGCGAAAGCGUCUAACUAGAACGGUUCUGACAGUCAGGGACGAAAGCUAGGGGAGCGAUCCGGAUUAGAUACCCGAGUAGUCCUAGCCGUAAACGCUGCGAGUUAGGUGUUGCAUAUUCUUCGCGAAUAUGCAGUGUCGAAGCGAAGGCAUUAAACUCGCCGCCUGGGAAGUACGGUCGCAAGGCUGAAACUUAAAGGAAUUGGCGGGGGAGCACUACAAGGGGUGCGGCGUGCGGUUUAAUCUAAUUCAACGCAGAGAAUCUCACCAGAAGCGACGGCAGGAUGAAGGUCAGGCUGAAGGUCUUACCCAACGAGCCGAGAGGUAGUGCAUGGCC